CCAUACAUAAUGUGUUCAACGAAAAAUCCACACUUUAUUGUUAAAACUUUGUUCAUUUUAAGUUGUAUAAUUUGAUAAUCUCUAUCAAAUAUGAUAUAGAUUAGUGAAUCAAAAAACCAGUGACAUCAACGUUAAAUUCAUAUUCAAUGUGUGGCUUAAUUUACGCUUGUAUCAAUAUGAGUCAAAAGGAGAAAAAAGUUCACGAAGUUUACUUUAAUAUAUUUGUUAAAAGCGAUGUUUAAUGAUCCUCCGAAGUUUAAUAUAUUUUGAAUCAAUUCCGGCACAUCGAAUUUACGGAAAGAAUGACUGACGUGUAAAAUUCCCUGUAGCAGAAGUAAAAUCAAGAUGGUGCAGCAGGAGGUCGAAGCUUUCAAACGGGCUAAUCAAAUUAUGGCGUCGAUGCAAACCGUGCUCC